UCUUUCACUCAUUCUUUAUUUGCCCAAUAGCACAGCUCUUCCCCUCUUCUGGCAAAAGUGAUGAAGUGGUGAAAUCGAUAGUGGAGGAGAUCAGGAGACGAUUCACUUGUUUGACAGAAGAAUCAUUUAUUGAGAGGAUCUGUAAUUGAUGAGGUAGAACGCUCACUUUGAUCGAGAGGUCAAACUCUUGCACCUUUCAUCUCCGACUAGGAAAUUUUCAGAGGCGAAUGUUCUGUCAGCUAAUCCUCGUGGAAAUUUGAUCAGAUGCGAAGCUUUUGAUGAAGACUGAUCGAACAAUGAAGCAAGUCCGAAAUGGAAAUAUACAGAGUUUUAGUUGCGAGAGGGACCAAGUAUCCGAACGCCAUCACUCUUGAUCGCUGAGCAAAGCAGUUAUUUUCUCAGAUCAGACAUUGACUCUAUUGGUGAAAAGGGGAAUAGUGAUGAAUGUCAUUGAUGGGCAUUCUUCUUGAUAAAGUUGUAAAUAAUGGAUUGGAGGCAAGAGAUUCAAGAAGUGAAGGAUAAAAAUUUGCUGCUGAAAAAUGAUUGGCUACCACUCUACUAAAUACUAAAUAGCCAAAAAAAAUGAGGAAAUUGAGGCAGAGGAGGAUCUAAAAAAGGCAUUCAAGGUCUUUGACAAGACUCCAAAUGGCUAUAUAUAAGCAAGGUUAAAGCUUCUUUUGAAAAUGCUUGUAGCUGGCGGGAGGAUGUCAAAAAAAUGAUUCGUUUAAGUUAGUAUGUGUAUAUUUCGUUAUGGAUUGGGUUGUUAGUUUUUCUGAACUUUAUAUGCUGUAAACAGUUGCGUUAUUGGAAUUUAUUGGUGUACUUGAAUGAUGCUGUAAACACGGUAUUAAAUUCAUUGGAUUUUGAAUGGGGAGAAUAUUUUUUGAAUUA